rnacentral:rRNA from 1 species
UACGGAGGGAGCUAGCGUUGUUCGGAAUUACUGGGCGUAAAGGGCUCGUAGGCGGCCAACUAAGUCGGACGUGAAAUCCCCAGGCUCAACCUGGGAACUGCGUCCGAUACUGGAUGGCUUGAAUCCGGGAGAGGGAUGUGGAAUUCCAGGUGUAGCGGUGAAAUGCGUAGAUAUCAAGCGGAACACCGGUGGCGAAGGCGGCCUUCUGGACAGUGACUGACGCUGAGACGCGAAAGCGUGGGGAGCAAACAGG